rnacentral:rRNA from 1 species
CGGGAAGAGCUCAAAUUUGAAAGCUGCCGCAAGGCCGCGUUGUAAUCUCGAGAAGUGUUUUCCGCAGCGGACUGGAUACAAGUCCCUUGGAAUAGGGCGUCGUAGAGGGUGAGAAUCCCGUACUUGAUGCAGACGACCGUUGCUUUGUGAUACACUCUCCAC